rnacentral:ncRNA from 2 species
ACUAUUAAUAUGGGGAGCUGAAUAUGGUCGGCUGAGAAAAAGACCCCUAAGUCUUUGACCCUUAUACCUGAUCUGGAUAAUACCAGCGUAGGAAAAUAAAUAACAAAACAU